GGGACAUGCCGCUGCCGGCACCCCGCUCGCUGGCCCGGCGAGGAGAGGCCGGUCUGGGGUGCGGGCAGGGCGGCGGGCAAACUCCUGGCCCGUAAGCCGAUCAGCAUCCCCGGGAGCAGAUUGGGGCUCGGGCUUAGCGCGCUGACAUCAGGGCGCAUCUGACAAUGCGAUUUGCUCGGGCGGCGCGGCACUCAGCGGGGCUGCUGGCGGCGGUGCGGAGAGGGGCUGCCGGCACGGAGCGGGGGGCACUCCGCGUGUGGGAGCUGCAGCGGGCGCGGGGCCCGCGAGCGGGGCAACUGCGGCUUCUUAGAGAUGUGCCAAGCACGUAUUUCUAACGGAAGGCACCUAGGCAUUAGACUGGGAGGAGUGACGCGUGCACAAACUGAGUUUCUGCAUUGCCGUAGUUGUUCUGUAACUCUUUUUCACAUGCUAUGGAUUGGCACAUGGGUCCAGGGAGGGAAGACCUACCAGUCAACCCAGUGGGAUACUCCGUUUCUUCACUCAGCGCUUGUGAGGCCACACCUAGAGUACUGUGCACGACUUUGGGCCCCUCACAACAAGAAAUACACUGAGGCUUCGGAGUGUGUCCAGAGAAGGGCAAUGAAGCUGGUCUGGAGCACAAGGAAUGGCUGAGAGAGAUGGGAUUGUUUAGUCUGGAGGAGGGUCAGGGGAGACCUCAUCACUCACUACAGCUCUCUGAAGGGAGGCUAUGGCCAGGUGGGGGUCAGCCUUUUCUUCCAUUCAUUCCAGAAUGACAGGGAAUGGCUUUAAGUUGCAGCAGUUCAGGUUGGAUAUGAGGAAAAAUUUCUUCUCCGGCUGUGGUGAGAUGUUGGAACAGGGUGCCCACGGAGGUGGUGGAGUCACUGUUCCUGGAGGUUUUCAAGAUGUAGAUGUCACACUGAGAGAUGUGGGUUAGUGGGCAUGGUGGUAGUGGAUUGACAGUUGGACUGCAUGGUCUUACUGGUCUUUUCCGGCCUUCUAUGAUCCUGUGAUUGUUUCAACAGCACUUUGAGGUGAACCUCACGUACGUGAGAGGCUUCAGCAGUUAGUUGUCUGGGGUCCACGUCUGCAGUGAAGGAAACGAGCAUUCUGCAGUGAGUUGAGGCAGAGUGUGAGACGAUUUUUGAAUUAAAAGAAAGCGUCGAUUUUAGAGUCACACAGAAGCAUGAGUAACAGGGUCUGGGUAGUGGAUGCUCACAGCUUUGCAAGAGUACCCCAUACAAAACCAGACCUCAGCGUUGCCACCAUGCCAGGGGGCUUUUGCCAAUGCCAAGCUGCAGGGCGGGAGUGCGGCGUCUAGCAGACGGAUAUCUGUAAUCAGAAUUAGCAACAGAUAGUGCCCUGAUUGGCUGCCUCUGCAAAGAGGCUAACCCGGGAAGAAAUGGGAUUAAACUGCUCCCUCACCUCCACGCAUCCCGGGGAUCACUGCUUCAUGUUUGAAGUAGUGCUCGCACUGAUGCUGCCCAUCUCCAGACAAGUUUUCAUGUAAAGAAAGGCUCCCUGGCACCGUCGCUCCUAUCUCUCUGCUUCCAAAUCGCAUGCUUUGGACUUGGUGUAAAUUACAGCAUGACAGCACUGUUAAGUUUCAGGGCUCCAUUCAGAGAACUUUCUGUUUCCCGCUCAGCUGGUGUGGCCAUCUGUCCAGCCAGCACAACUCUAUCUCUUAGAGCACCACUUGUACUUUGGAAGAACUUCAGCUUUCCUUAAAAUCCUGAUGCUGACAGGGAGCAUUUGCACUGCUGUCAGGCAGAACUUACCGUAGGAGCUCAGUGCCCAGAAAGGCUCCUGCCUGUGGUAACUCUGAGCAGCAGAAAAAGUAGAAGAGUGAAUUCUAACAGAACAGGAACAAAUAUUUUCUUUAAGGUGUCAGAUUAAUACAGAGCAUGCACUAUGCUUCACUUUUCAUUUUUCACUUUUACAACUGCUGCUGAGGCUGUUGGUUAGCCUCUGUGCAACGCGACAAUGAGCAACAAGACACCACAGAAGGGUGCAGCAUAUUGCAUGCAGACCCUUCCUUGGCCACCCAAGACGAUGCUGCGGAUCUUGGUCCUGCCAGCACGAUGCUGAUCUGCUUGAGCACAGCCAUAUAGGUAAAACAGAUUAUGCUCAGUUUCUAAAUGCCUUCAGUGGCAUGGCAAACAGGGUUUCUUGUCAUUUGUGCUUCAGUGUGCAACUGAAGAGAGAACAACGUGAAGAAAGGCUACAGAAUAAGUCUGCAAAAUGCUUUCAGUUGAACAGAAAGAAACUGUUUACAUGGCUUCCGUAAGAGGACAGCCUCAAACCUUUUUUCUAGAAUAGAUACCAGUUAAUGUCACUGGAGUUAAGUGUUGGUAUUUAGAAAUUUUGCAAUAAAAACAAAGAAAUAAAGAUUGCCAUCUUAAAGCAAAUAGCCUUAUAUUGUAUCUAUUUAUCACCAUCUCAUCAAAAUUUACUGCUGGAAAUUAACAAGGCAGGAAAUUAAAAUAUCCAGAGCAGAUCCUACCUGUCUUCAUGCAGACAAAACUUCCUUUGAAAAAAAUACAAGUUUUUGGAAUGACGAUAGCACUGAGCCCCCACAGUUUGCCUCGUUAAGGUUUACAAGCCAUUUCCUUUACAAACAGUUCUGAGGCUGAGAUUUAAUGAGGUUUAUGUCUGAUAGUAAAAUUAGAAUGAAGAUUCAGUGAGUGUUGAGUGUCCCUCCCACACUCAAUGAUUUAACCUAGGGAAAAAUUUCACGUACUGACAGAGAUUGCCAGUGUUGUUAAAAAGCAAAUCUGGUCAGGACAAAAGAGUAGGUUUCUAGAAGGAAAAGUAAAUAAAUCCAAUUACUUGCUUGGAUUGUUUAGCUAUUUGGAACUUCGGAUAGACGGGAAUGCUGAUUAUGUCUUAUUUUUACCUGCAGGAUGCCUGUGUACCCUUUUUGAAGUUCUGGGGGUGUUUCCCUCUUCCUCAGAUGAGCUCUUUGCAAAAAUCCUGCAAACAAGAGAAGAUGAGGCUGGUGAGAUACUCAAGGUAAAGGUAAUGUAAUGGAGGGAUAUAAGCGUCAUAAUCCAAAGCUCCACUGCAGGAAGCCACGUACUUAAGUCUUUUUGGACAAUUUCCUCAGAACUGUGAAAAACUACUGUUUCAGCAUGCUCCUGGCUAAGGAACAUAGAGAGUGGGAGAGCAAAACAUUUCUCCAAUUUGUAGCAGAGGGCUCCCCACUUACCUGUGAAAAGAUGUCACUCAGAUUUUCCACAUAUCUGUGGGUGCUUUCAGCCUUUCUAGCCCUAAGUUUUGGCUCUGGGAUGUUCAGGAUAUGGCUUUACAGUUUGGAAGAGGUUCAGGUGGUAUUUAACUUCAAGCCAUGGGUACCAAGUGCUAGCCAAUUACCACAGACAUGUGCCAGUCUCCCCCUGCUGUAGUCCUGCGUCAGUAAACUGUAAGCAAUUUUGCCUAAUACAAACUGGGAGUCGGUCCCUGCUAUCUAAUGCAAUCCACUAGCGGAAAAGCACUGUCAGAAAAACAGAAACAGAAAUAUUUUUUCCAAGUAAAGAAAUUAAAGACAAAGUCUGAAAGUUUCGCUGCCAAAUGUAUUCGUUUCGAGUGUGUUUGUCUCAUUGAACACUCCUGUGAGAAUUUGGAGCACUUUAGAAUAGAGCUUGCACCAUGGCAUGCUUCAGCACAGAGCCUGAGUUCCUGUUGUAAAGGUGAAUAUCGUUCUCAUUUUAUAGGCGCUGAAAUUGAAUUAGAGAGUAUUUAGAUGCAGCAGAGCAAUGCAUAAUGUGACUCUAAGCAUACAAAUGUCUUAUUUUGGAACUACUCAAAUGCUUUAAACAAGUCAUGGUUUAAAUGGCUUGUCCAAAACCAUACAGCCAGGAAGAUGAGGGAGAGGGUCCGGCUCCUUACUGAGAUCUUUAAAGAAAGUAUCCUAAAUAUAAAUAGCGCAUCUCCAUCGAGGCUACAGGUGCUCAUAUUGAAGCUGUUUCUCUUUUUGGAAUGUAAUGAAUGCUGGCCAGCAAAUAUUGUAAAAGGCACUUUGUGACAUCGAAGUCAACACAGUAAUUAUAUUCAAUAUCCUGUGUUUUUGUCAGGCUUUCUUCUAGACAACUGAAUAUAAACUAGAGCACUGAUAAGCAAAGUAUUCUCCAGGAAGGAUACAAGACUACUUUAUUGCUUCACAUAACUUUUUUUUCAGUUUGCACUUACAUGGUAUCAAAGUAAUAUCACAUUGAAAACGUGACUGUGUGUGCAAGGAGUCAUGCUUCAGAGGAGGAGUUCUUUUCUCUUUCCUGUCUCUUCCAGAGAUAACUGGUCUUUCUGGCAUUAACUGGUGGUUUCACCGGAGCACACAGCAUUGUGAUUAACCAGGGGCUUCAACUGAAAGGCAUGCAUGCAUUUUUGCAAUUUAAUGAUAAAGAUAUGUGUGCUUUGAAAACAUAUUAGAAACUUGUAGAAUGACUGUGGGGCUAUUAUUAUUUUCAUAUUGUGCCCUGCUAGCUUUCAUCGCCUCUAACAGGAUCAUACUGUUUCUCAUCUUUGCAGAAAUGUGAUGUUCUUGAAGGAGAUUUCUUUUUCCUGGAAACAUUUAAGUUGUCAUGUUGCCAGGUUAAAAUAAAGAGACUCUUGUCUCAUCCAAAAGUUUCCUUCCUUCUUGGUGCUUUUGUAAUGCAGUUUCCACAAAUUGCAAACAUCAUGGGACUUGUCCCAAGAGAUGCUCAAGGAAAAACUGAAUGUUAUACAUGUAGCAUACCCCCUUACAAACCAUACCUCCCAUUUGAUCAUCAUUUAUGCAGUUCAAAAUGUCUUACUCUGUUGUACCUCCUUCCUCAGCACCUUUUGGCAAGAAAAUACCCUUCCUUUUAUUUUCUAUGGAAGAAAUCAUAGACUCAUAGAAUGGCCUGGGUUGAAAAGGACCACAAAGAUCAUGUAGUUUCACCCCCCCUGCUAUAUGCAGGGUCUCCAACCACCAGAUCAGGCUGCCCAGAGCCACAUCCAGCCUGGCCUUGAAUGCCUCCAGGGAUGGGGCAUCCACAGCCUCCUUGGGUAACCUGUUCCACUGCGUCACCACCCUCUGAGUGAAAAACUUCCUCCUAAUAUCCAACCUAAACCUCUUUGUGGUGCAUGGUUCGAUUGAUUGUUGUCUUGUACAGCUGUCUUCUGUAUGGGUAUAGUCUAUGAAAAUGAGGAGCUGUCACUGUUAGAAAUAUAUUAUGGAUCUUUUUUGCCCUCUGUACUGAGCUAGUUGGAAAGUAAUACCACACUGAGAGUACAAUAUCUUCUUUCUGUGUUGUUCUCGUAAAAUACAUUCUCUUUACAGAUCCAAAAAAGUGUGCUUCUGAUUCAGUAAAGGAUGUAUAAGAAUCGCAUGGUUUUAUUUUCUCUUGAUGCAUUCUGUGAAUUUAGUGUGACUUCCUUUUUAUUGCUUCUUGAAUAUCCAGCAACAAGAAAGUCUUCAGCUUUCUCUGUAAGAAGGCAGCAUUGAGGGAUGAAAUUUUCACAGUCAAACUACUUCACAAACA
rnacentral:lncRNA from 1 species